rnacentral:rRNA from 1 species
GACGAACGCUGGCGGCGUGCUUAACACAUGCAAGUCGUACGGUAAGGCCCUUUCGGGGGUACACGAGUGGCGAACGGGUGAGUAACACGUGAGUAACCUGCCCACAACUUUGGGAUAACGCUAGGAAACUGGUGCUAAUACUGGAUAUGUGCUCCUGCUGCAUGGUGGGGGUUGGAAAGCUCCGGCGGUUGUGGAUGGACUCGCGGCCUAUCAGCUUAUUGGUGGGGUAGUGGCCUACCAAGGCGGCGACGGGUAGCCGGCCUGAGAGGGUGACCGGCCACAUUGGGACUGAGAUACGGCCCAGACUCCUACGGGAGGCAGCAGUGGGGAAUAUUGCACAAUGGGCGCAAGCCUGAUGCAGCAACGCCGCGUGCGGGAUGACGGCCUUCGGGUUGUAAACCGCUUUCAGCAGGGACGAAGCUUUUUGUGACGGUACCUGCAGAAGAAGCACCGGCUAACUACGUG